rnacentral:rRNA from 1 species
CGCUCUGUGAACCCUGAUGAAGAUGGGCUGUCUGAGUACUAUGAAAAUUGUCAAAACUUUCAACAAUGGAUCUCUUGGUUCCGGCAUCGAUGAAGAACGCAGCGAAAUGCGAUAAGUAAUGUGAAUUGCAGAAUUCCGUGAAUCAUCGAAUCUUUGAACGCACAUUGCGCCCCCUGGCAUUCCGGGGGGCAUGCCUGUCCGAGCGUCAUUUCUGCCCUCAAGCACGGCUUGUGUGUUGGGUGUGGUCCCCCCGGGGACCUGCCCGAAAGGCAGCGGCGACGUCCGUCUGGUCCUCGAGCGUAUGGGGCUCUGUCACUCGCUCGGGAAGGACCUGCGGGGGUUGGUCACCACCAUAUUUUACCACGGUUGACCUCGGAUCAGGUAGGAGUUACCCGCUGAACUUAAGCAUAUCAAUAAGCGGAGGAAAAGAAACCAACCGGGAUUGCCUCAGUAACGGCGAGUGAAGCGGCAAGAGCUCAAAUUUGAAAUCUGGCCCCUUUGGGGUCCGAGUUGUAAUUUGCAGAGGAUGCUUCGGGUGCGGUCCCCGUCUAAGUGCCCUGGAACGGGCCGUCAUAGAGGGUGAGAAUCCCGUCUGGGAUGGGCGGCCGCGCCCGUGUGAAGCUCCUUCGACGAGUCGAGUUGUUUGGGAAUGCAGCUCUAAGCGGGUGGUAAAUUUCAUCUAAAGCUAAAUACUGGCCGGAGACCGAUAGCGCACAAGUAGAGUGAUCGAAAGAUGAAAAGCACUUUGAAAAGAGAGUUAAACAGCACGUGAAAUUGUUGAAAGGGAAGCGUUGUCCACCAGACUCGCCCGGGGGGGUUCAGCCGGCACGUGUGCCGGUGUACUCCUCUCCGGGCGGGCCAGCAUCGGUUUGGGCGG